rnacentral:rRNA from 1 species
GGAGGAAAAGAAACCAACAGGGAUUGCCUCAGUAACGGCGAGUGAAGCGGCAAGAGCUCAAAUUUGAAAUCUGGCGCAAGCCCGAGUUGUAAUUUGAAGAGGAUGCCUCGGUUGCGGCCCCAGCCAAAGUUCCUUGGAACAGGACGUCAUGGAGGGUGAGAAUCCCGUCUGGCUGGCGGUCUACACCAUGUGUGGCUCCUUCGAAGAGUCGAGUUGUUUGGGAAUGCAGCUCAAAAUGGGUGGUAGAUUUCCAUCUAAAGCUAAAUACUGGCGAGAGACCGAUAGCGCACAAGUAGAGUGAUCGAAAGAUGAAAAGCACUUUGAAAAGAGAGUUAAACAGUACGUGAAAUUGUUGAAAGGGAAGCGCUUGCAAUCAGACUCGCCUGCAGUUGAUCAACGUUCCUUCUGGGUCGUGCACUCUUCUGUCGGCGGGCCAGCAUCGGUCACGACGGCGGGACAAAGACGUCGGGAAUGUGGCUCUUCGGAGUGUUAUAGCCCGGCGUGCAAUGCCGCCAGCCGUGAYCGAGGUCCGCGCUUCGGCUAGGAUGCUGGCUUAAUGGUUGUAAGCGACCCGUCUUGAAACACGGACCAAGGAGUCUAACAUCUAUGCGAGUUUUUGGGUGUAAAACCCACGGGCGCAAUGAAAGUGAACGGAGGUGGGAGCCCUCGGGUGCACCAUCGACCGAUCCUGAUGUUCUCGGAUGGAUUUGAGUAUGAGCAUAGCUGUUGGGACCCGAAAGAUGGUGAACUAUGCCUGAAUAGGGUGAAGCCAGAGGAAACUCUGGUGGAGGCUCGCAGCGGUUCUGACGUGCAAAUCGAUCGUCAAAUUUGGGUAUAGGGGCGAAAGACUAAUCGAACCAUCUAGUAGCUGGUUCCUGCCGAAGUUUCCCUCAGGA